rnacentral:lncRNA from 1 species
GUUAGUGGAAUAAAUGGUUAAAAAUUCAAAGGGUCAUAAUCUUUAGAAUCUGCUGGCCAACGAAUCAUCUUUUUGGUAGGAUAAAGAGAUUGAGGAAAGAGAGAUUGGAGCCAAACUAUGAGAGUCAUAAGUCGAGAGCCAGACUGUAAGAGUCGUAAGCCAAUGGCUAGACUGUGAGAGUCAUAAGCCGAGAGCCAGACUAUGAGAGUCAUAAUUCUGUGUGAUGAAUUAAAAAACUGAAUACAAUAGGUAAGCUGAAGAUCAAUAAUUGAAUAUAUAUAAACCACAAAGAGAAUAAGUGGGAGAUGAACGGAUAAGAAUAUGGAAAUAUUGUUGAAU